AUUUAAUCGUUGACAGGGAUUAUUAGAAAGCCAGCUACUAACAGAAACCACAUGGUAAUGUGAAUGUGGAUUAGCCACUUUUGAACUCACCCUUGAGAACUCUUUGCCAAAGUCACAGUAAGCAAAGACGUGCGUUCGCGUUAAGACACUUUCGAAGAGCUACAUUAUGUAGAAGAUGGGUGGUACCGCGGAGUAAAUUCGUCCUAUAG
rnacentral:ncRNA from 1 species